GUACACGGCCACGCGCCAGCCGCGCUCCAGCAGCAGCGGCACCAGGCAGGAACCCAGGUAGCCCGCGCCGCCAGUCACCAGCACUUCCUUGGCCUCCGGCAUCCUGCGAAACGCACCACCGUUUGCACGGAAUCCUCCCGGUGCUCAUGGCUAUCAUCGCCCAGGAGAUACUGUGUUCUCGGAUGGAUCCUGCUAUCAAUACAUCACUGGAAUUUGCGUUGCUGUCCACACCAACGAAGCCGGUGCAUGCUCCACUUGUACGCGAUCUUGGUGCCUGCGUCGUAGCAAUCGUCUACGUGGCUUCAUCUGUAUUGGCACCACCAUCAUUUGGUAUCUAGAUGCUGUAUCCGCCAUGGAAAAUAGCAUCGACACCGGCAUUCGUGCUCCCGCCUAGUAUAAGACAGCAAUGAUGAUCAUCGAAAGCGCUGUGCGUGCUGGAUAGCGUUGCAUGGUUCGGCGCCUAUGUCACUUCCCAUGAUAAUGCGCGCGUGUUGACGCAGGCUCACGACUUGAAUGUAAACGGAUAUGAACAGAGCGGCUAUACCCGGAGAAAAAGAAGGCAUGCUGGCGCAGCCAGGUCCUAAUUGAAUUCUGGGGUUUCACAUGCCAAAAACCACGAUUAGACUAUGAAGCACGCCGUAUAGUGGGGGACUCCGCAUUAAUUUUGAUGCACAGGACACGGGCGUUUUACAGCGAAG